UGGACAUUUAUUUUAAAGCAGUUUCUUCUUACCAUGAAAAUAACUCUUUGUAAAUGUCCUAGAAAAAAUAUAGUAGCACUCUGUCUACCAUUGCCAAGUAAGAAAGAGUGUAUUGUUUCACUACUGACAUUU